GGCGCGCGGAGUGGCCAAAUUCACUGCAGAGCUGGCACUUCCCAUUGUACCCGCGCGAUUGGCCAUUGUUGGAGUAACCACCGCGUCCGAAGGAAGAACCACGGCUGCCACAGACGCCCCGGGGCCACCGGAACGGUUACGGCCGGACUGCUGUCCGGCGAGGAAGGCAGCGUACAAAGCCAAAUCAGAUGCGGCGGAGGUGGCCGGCGCACGAGCAGUAAGCUGAGCCUCCAUG
rnacentral:lncRNA from 1 species